UGCUUGAUUAUUUUCAUGGAGGCAAUGACAUCAUUUGUUUUUAUUUCUAUUUUUAAAGGUGAAGCUAUUUGCUCCUAAUGCUGAGCAGAUGUACAUUGUUAAUCACUUGAAAGAGAGCCCAGCAGAAGAGAAAUGUGCUGGAGGAAGUGCCAGGAGAGCCCGUGGGGACAUACAAGAAUUGGCAGACCUGAACUCCAGCAAGCUUGAAGCUGUCAUUAUACCAGUGGUUUUGGGGUGGGCCAGGACUGCCCCAUCAGCGGUUCUGUGGAGGACUCCUUUGGCUGCAUUUCCCACAUGCUGGCAGCUGACACCUUCCUGCUGCGAAGUCACGGUGGGUUGGGAUAAUCUUGUGGAUGGAGGGGGAGAAAAAGGAUGAAAAGCUUACUGCCUGGUAAGCAGGCUCUAUGGCCUUUUCCCAUUUUCCUUGCUGCAAAUGAAUAUCAGUGCAACUGCUUUGCUUAACAAAUUAUCUUUCAUUUGGGGACUGCCUAAUGGCACGGGGGUGGGAUGUGGGUGGACAUGGUAGGGGACGGUGCUCUAAGGCAAUGAGACCAGCUGGCUUUGAAGCAGAGGGAAAAUGCAUUCUUUUGAGAUACACUGGCUUACUCUGUAAGAAAAUAUUUUCAGUAUAACAGUUCUCUUGUAUGAUAUCAUUCAGCUGUAUGGUUCAAAUUAACCUUGCUGUAAUUUUUUUCCUAUUGAUCCGAGUACAUACAGCCUUCAUUUUCUCUUACUAAGUCAAUAUUUAAAUGAAGUAUCAUGUUGGAACAGAUUUUUUCCAUGCAAGGUGGCUUCGGGCUUCUGUCCAAACAGUGUAGCGUUUGAGAGGCCACUGCAAGCUGAUCAUUUUAACUUUCUUCACAGUCAUGCUGUCAGUUGCCUAAGAAACAUUUUCUUCCACCCAGGUAUCUUCUCUUCUGGUAGGUUCGAUGAUGCUGCCGGGGCCACUGCUGUGCAGAAGUCCAACUGUGCUCAAGGCUGCCGGGAGGGGUCUCCUGCCAGGCCACUGCCCACAGAGUGGCUCAGAGGUGGCCCCUCCACAGGAGCCAUGUGUAGAGAGAGGUUCUGUUUCGGCCCGGGAAGAACCAAAAACCAUGGAUUCCACCUAUGGAAGGUUCACAUUCUCACUGGGGAGGAGUGAGGAAGCACUGCUGGCCCAAUAUAGGUACAGAGCACUUUCCUUGUCCUACGUACUGAGUUUGCUUGUAUCUCUGCUCCCAGCUUAUAAAUUAUGAACUCAUGAUUGCAAGAGGUUUUUGUCUGUUUUGUUGACUGCUUUAUCACCUGCACCAGGAACAUCCUCUGGCAUAAGACGCCCUUGAUAUAAAUUUGUUGAUAAAGAACACCCACCAUUUACUCAGAGUCUUCAAAGAGGUUCCCCUUAUAAACCCAUACAGACCUUAAGGUGGGGACAUAGGGCACGUAGCUGACUGUGAUAUCUUUUUCAGAUAAAGGCUUCCAAGGAAAGUUGUUAUAAAAUAUAUAAAAAUAUUUACAUAUAAAAUAUAUAUAUUUAUGUUAUAUAAAGUCACAUAUUCUGGGGUAGCCCGGGUGGCUCAGUCAGUUGAGCAUCUGCCUUCAGCUUGGGUCAUAAUCUGGGACUCCCGGGAUCAAGUAUUGCAUCGCGCUUCCUGCUCAGUGGAGAGCCUGCUUCUCCCUCUGCACCUCACCCUGCUCAGGCACUCUCUGUCUUACUCUUUUUAUCUCACAUAAAUAAAUUAUCUUUUUAAAAAAAAUUUAUUUAUUUGACAGAGAUUGCAAGUAGACAGAGAGGCAGGCAGAGAGAGAGGGGGAAGCAGGCUCCCCACCGAGCAGAGAGCCCAAUGCAGGGCUCAAUCCCAGGACCCUGAGAUCAUGACCUGAGCCAAAGGCAGAGGCUUAACCCACUGAACCACCUGGGUGCCCCAUCUCUCACAUAAAUAAAUAGUCUUAAAAAAAAAAAAAAGUCCCAUAAGUCUCAUUUUCAGUGCCAGGGUUAAAAUCAUUACCGCUCUUUGGUCUGUGACAGCUGUAAGCUGCUGGAGCCAUCAGUUGGAGUUACUACUGUGAGAGAACACACAGCUUGUAGAGCUCCAAGUGCUACAGAGCAGGACAAUUCCUGGAGUGGAGGCAAAGCCCAUUUUCUGUGUCAUGUCUCUGUACCCUGCAAAACCACACAAAUAGGAAGGAAGAGCACUUCGGGGUGGGAAACGUUGUGCAAGAGAGAGAAUAUAGCAGGCCUCAAGCUGCUGUCUUUAUUAAGUCCUGUUCCUGAGGUUCGUCCUCGGCUGGCAUCUGGGAGCUUGGCACUUAACCCACCCCCUGUCUGAGAAAAAUAGUUUGCUCUGCCAAGAUUGUGCAGAAUUACGCCGAACACCUGCUUUCCUUCUUUGAGUUUGGGAUUAUGAUCUUUGCUGGGCGGAGGGGACCGACAUGACCAAACAUUAUUAAAUACCUUGAGUGCUAAGGCUUUCUCCAGGGGAGAAAAAAUGUGCACACUUCGGUGAAUUUUUCACUCCUGGAGAGAGGAACGCACUCGUGUGUUUCCUGACUGGUGGAAGAGGGCAUCAGAAGCCUCCAGACUCUGCUGUUAUUGGCUUUUUCUCUAGUUGAUCCUGUCAUGUAUCCUUUCACUGUAAUAAACCUUAACCAUGAGUACAGCUCUGUGCUGAGUCCCCUAACUUCAUCUUGUGAUCCCUGAAUGUACAUGUGGUCUUGGAGAUCCCCAAAACAUAUAUGCCAGCCAGUACUGGGGUUCCUUGGGUGUGUCUGGUGACAGGUAGUUUGACUCAAGGCCUCAAAUGUGUGCUAAGGAUGCAGAAACACCAAGAGUGCUAAAAUGAGCCUCUCUCUGAGCUGGAGCCUUGGUCCCAGGCUCGGGUGGGUUUUCUCAGUGGUGGUCUGGCUUUCCAGGGUGAGUGGCUCGCAGGCUGUCCUGUUCCCCAGCUUCAUGGAUGCAAGAGACAAAGGGGCUUGAUUUAACUCUCCCAUUUCAUCAAAGCUGUCUGCCAGCACUCUGGCUCAAAAAUGCCCAUACUUUUGACCCUCCUGGAAAGGAAUCAUCUAGAAAGGAAUGUGGGCAACAAGUCUUUCCCUAUCUUACCUCAGCUUUUUUUGUAUGUGGGGAGCAGGAGAUGGUGUGCAGGGCUGCCAGUGCAGAGGUCCCUUAUGUUCCCUCCCCAGAUACAUAUCCCCUCAUGUUCUCUGUCAAGGUCACUUAGUGUGCAUAAUAACCAAUAUCAAGAUCACCUUGAAUGUUGUCGUCUCCUCAGGAGAGAUCAUUUUCUCCAACCUUUGUUGUUUGUCUGAAACAUCCAUCAAGAUGGAUAAACUGAGGUGCAUUAAAUUUUUUUAAGAAGAUUUUAUUUAUUUGGCAGAGAGAGAGAGUGAACACAAUCCAGGGAAAUGGCAGAGGGAGAAGGAGAAGUGGACUCCUGCUGAGCAGGGAAGCCGACAUGGGACUCUAUCCCAGGACCCUGGGAUUGUGACCUGAGCUUAAGGCAGAUGCUCCACAGACUGAGCCACCCAGCUGCCCUGUAUUAAAUUUUUUUAAGAGUUUAUUCAUGGGGCACUGGGGUGGUACAGUAGGUUGAGCAUCUGACUCCUGGUUUUUGGCUCAGGGCAUGACCUCAGGGUCAUGAGGUUGAGCCCUGCAUCAGGGCUCUGUCUCAGCAUGGAGUCUGCUUGAGAUUCUCUCUCUCUCUCUCCCCCUCUGCCCCACCUGCUCCUGCUCACUUGCUCACAUACUUGCUGUCUCCCAAAUAAAUAAAUAACAUUAUAUUCCAUUAAAAAAAAUAGCUUAUUUGGGCAAAAAUUUAUUUGUAUCAUAUAGCAUCUAACCUAGCCAGAUAGAAAGGAGCUCCAAGGAGCUUAUAAAAUGAAAAACUUUUAAAGGUAGAAGGGAAUAAGAACAAGGAAGCUACAUUCGACAAAAUAGAUUGGUUAUUUCAAGGUUACUUUCCUUUAGGGGAUGGCAGGGGUCUGUCAGGCAUAUUACUUAAUUGUUCUGGCAAUUCCUGAAUGAUUGGUUUAAGAUUCCAUUUCUGCGAGCGCUGAAACUGUAAAUAAAUCUCAUUUUAGUGUGUGGUGCUUAGCAUUAAGACUCCAUUUUGGGUCUGUUGUCUUGGGUUUUUUUUGUUUGUUUUUUAAAGAUUUAUUUAUUUAUUUGACAGAGAGAGAGAGAGAGAUCACAAGUAGGCAGAGAGGCAGGCAGAGAGAGGGGAGGAAGCAGGCUCCCCGCUGAGCAGAGAGCCCGAUGUGAGGUUCGAUCCGAUCCCAGGACCCCGGGAUUAUGACCUGAGCCGAAGACAGAAGCUUUAACACACUGAGCCACCCAGGCACACCUGUUGUCUUGUUUUUAGCAGGGGUUUUUACUGGCCCAAAGGGAUAUUAUUACUGGGGGUAUUAUUAUUAGCCCUUAGAUCUUGGGGAUAUUAUUACUAGUCCUUAGAUCUCACCACUAGAAAUUUCUGAAGUGCAUAAAGACAGGAUAAUUAAAUUGUAUCUGAAGGCCAUAAUAGAAACCACCACUUUUAUCUCCUGUUUUAUUUACUUUUUAUUUACUGUUCAAACAAAUUAAUCACAGUUAUAUGAUAUGUCUUAUCAAACAGCAUAAUCCAAGUGAUAGAGAGCCAGCCAUAGAAAAUUCUACACAUUUCUAAGUACUGUUUUAGCUACAUCCUACAAAUUUUGAUAUAUACUAUUUUUGUUAUUGGUUGGUUCGAAAUGUUUUAUAAUUUUUAAUGACGGUUCUGUGAUCCAAAAGUUACUUAAAAGAAUUUUUAUUUCCAAACAUUUCAAGCUUUUCCAAUUAUCUUUUUUAUGUUGAAUUUAAACUUAAUUGCAUUAUGAUUAGGGAAAAUGAUCUAUAUCGUCCAAUCCUUUGUAAAGUUGUUAAGACUCACUUUAUGGCUCAGUAGAUGGUCCUUUUUUUGUAAAUGUUCUGUGAGAUUUUUAAAAGAUUGUGAAAUCUCUAGUUGUUUUGUGCAGAAUUCUCUAUAUGUCCUUUACAUAAAACAUGUAUAUUGUGUUUAAAUCUUGAUGUAGUUUACUUACUUUGGGUUUCCUUGAGAGAUCAGUUACUAAGAGAUUAGUGUUAAAAUUCUCUCUGUGUGUCAUUGGAUUCAUUUAUUUCUCCUUGUAGUUCAGUAUUAUUUAAAAUUAUUUUAAUUACCUACUGAUUUGAAAUUUUUAUCAUUAUAUAGUCAUCUUUUUUGUUUCCAGUAAUGCUUUCUGCUUGAGAUCUGUUUUGUCUAACAUUAACAUUUAUUUAUUCCAGCUUGCUUUGGUUAGUAUUCCAUACAUAUUUCUCCCAUCUUUUUACUUUAAACUUUUUUUGCAUCCUUAUGAGUCUUGAAUAACUUAUUUAACUUGAUUUAAAACAAAAAAAACAGGGCGCCUGGGUGGCUCAGUGGGUUAAGCCGCUGCCUUCGGCUCAGGUCAUGAUCUCAGAGUCCUGAGAUCGAG
ensembl:lincRNA